rnacentral:tmRNA from 1 species
GGGGCUGACUUGGAUUUCGACAGAUUUCUUGUCGCGCAGAUAGCAUGCCAAGUGCUGCUUGUAAAACAGCAACAAAAAUAACUGUAAACAACGCAGAUUACGCUCCAGCUUACGCUAAG